GACGAACGCUGGCGGCGUGCUUAACACAUGCAAGUCGAACGGGGUUUAGUGAGGAGUAAUCCGAGCUUAACCUAGUGGCGGACGGGUGCGUAACGCGUGAACAAUCUGUCCUUCUGAGGGGGAUAACAUCUGGAAACAGAUGCUAAUACCGCAUAAGACCACGAGGUCGCAUGGCCUUGAGGUAAAAGGAGCAAUCCGCAGGAGGGUGAGUUCGCGUCCCAUUAGCUAGUUGGUGAGGUAAAGGCCCACCAAGGCGACGAUGGGUAGCCGAUCUGAGAGGAUGACCGGCCACACUGGAACUGAGAAACGGUCCAGACUCCUACGGGAGGCAGCAGUGGGGAAUAUUGGGCAAUGGGCGAAAGCCUGACCCAGCAACGCCGCGUGAGGGAAGAAGGCUUUCGGGUCGUAAACCUCUGUCGCAGGGGACGAGAAGAAGACGGUACCCUGUGAGGAAGCCCCGGCUAACUACGUGCCAGCAGCCGCGGUAAUACGUAGGGGGCGAGCGUUGUCCGGAAUGACUGGGCGUAAAGGGCGCGUAGGCGGUUUAAUAAGUUAGGAGUGAAAGUCCUGCUUUCAAGGUGGGAAUUGCUUUUAAUACUGUUGAACUUGAGUGUGGGAGAGGAUAGCGGAAUUCCCGGUGUAGCGGUGAAAUGCGUAGAGAUCGGGAGGAACACCAGUGGCGAAGGCGGCUAUCUGGACCAAGACUGACGCUGAGGCGCGAAAGCGUGGGUAGCAAACAGGAUUAGAUACCCUGGUAGUCCACGCUGUAAACGAUGGAUGCUAGGUGUAGGAGGUAUCGACCCCUUCUGUGCCGGAGUAAACACAAUAAGCAUCCCGCCUGGGGAGUACGGCCGCAAGGUUGAAACUCAANGGANUUGACGGGGGCCCGCACAAGCAGCGGAGCAUGUGGUUUAAUUCGAAGCAACGCGAAGAACCUUACCAGGUCUUGACAUCGAUGUAAGCCAGAAGAGAUUCUGGGUGCCUUCGGGCAACAGAAGACAGGUGGUGCAUGGUUGUCGUCAGCUCGUGUCGUGAGAUGUUGGGUUAAGUCCCGCAACGAGCGCAACCCCUAUUGCCAGUUACCAGCGAGUGAUGUCGGGGACUCUGGCGAGACUGCCGCGGUCAACGCGGAGGAAGGUGGGGACGACGUCAAAUCAUCAUGCCCCUUAUGUCUUGGGCUACACACGUGCUACAAUGGCAGUUACAGAGGGAAGCGAAAUCGUAAGGUGGAGCGAAUCCCAGAAAGGCUGUCCCAGUUCGGAUUGUGGGCUGCAACCCGCCCACAUGAAGUCGGAGUUGCUAGUAAUCGCGAAUCAGCAUGUCGCGGUGAAUACGUUCCCGGGCCUUGUACACACCGCCCGUCACACCAUGGGAGUUGGGAGCGCCCGAAGUCAGUACCCUAACCGCAAGGAGGGGGCUGCCGAAGGCGAGCUCAAUGACUAGGGUG
rnacentral:rRNA from 1 species